AAAAAAACCCCCCAAACAAAAAACUUAAUUUUUACUAGAAGAUCAACCUUGAUUUAAUUUUUACAGCUCAUAUUCUUCCAAGAAUUGGUUUACUUUUUCCCUGAACCAAUCCUCCUGGUCAUAAUGCUGUUAUCAUGCAUUAUACAUCAAUCCUCAGUGACAAUUGAUGUAUCAUACUUCAUUUCUCACUAUUAUGAUUCAAAGGGAUGAUCCUAAACACUUGAAAAUCAAUAUAAGAAUUGGGGAUAUGUACUUUUCUUAAUUGCAGUCUUGCAAUAUAUGGUGGCUAAUUU
rnacentral:misc_RNA from 1 species